rnacentral:lncRNA from 1 species
GAAAUCGCAACAGGGCUAUUUAUAGCUGAGGAGCGUCACAGAAAACAGGCCCAAGCUCAGUAGACAACCGCCUUGGGUCACACUUGUUCCGCCCGGCGGUUUCCCUUAAGGUACGCUACCGCCCGGCGGCAGGGGUCUACCGCCCGGCGGUUUGCCUCUAAUCGCAAAUCCGCCUGGCUGCACCGCCUGGUGCCAACUCCUCACACUGGACCACCCAGCGGUGUAAUUUGCCGUCGG